GCCCGUUAUGACAUGAGCAAAAUCUCAACUUUAUUCCUUUAGACGCAUUUAUUAGAUAAAAAGCCAAUGCAUGCUUUUACAGUAUGAAAAUUGGUGAUUUAUAAUAACUUAGCAAAUCGCAUAGUGAAAACAGGCGAUAAAUCAUUCAAGUUUCUGACCUAUCAGCUUUCGACGGUAUGGUAUUGGCUUACCGUGGCAGUGACGGUUAACGGGGGAUUAGGGUUCGAUUCCGGAGAGGGAGCCUGAGAAACGGCUACCACAUCUAAGGAAGGCAGCAGGCGCGCAAAUUACCCAAUUCUAACAGUUUGAGAGAGGUAGUAACAAGAAAUAACAAUACAAGGCAGUUAAAAUGCUUUGUAAUUGGAAUGAUAGAAAUUUAAACCCUUUUUAAAGUAUCAAUUGGAGGGCAAGUCUGGUGCCAGCAGCCGCGGUAAUUCCAGCUCCAAUAGCGUAUAUUAAAAUUGUUGCAGUUAAAAAGCUCGUAGUUGAAGUUCUGCUAAAAGUAACCGGUCUGCUUUGAAUAAAAGUGGUAUCUUGGUAUGUAUUUAGCAAUGAUGUCCUUUGAAGUGUUUUUUACUUUAUUGUAAUAAAGCAUAUUCAGGACUUUUACUUUGAGAAAAUUAGAGUGUUUCUAGCAGGCCAACGCUUUGAAUACUGCAGCAUGGAAUAAUAAGAAGGGC
rnacentral:rRNA from 1 species